UCUACAGGAAGAAGAGGUUUCAGAGCAUUCAGCAUCUCCCCUGUGAGCCCCUUGUAUGUGGUACCUGAGCAGCAACGUGCCCACGUGUGCCUGGAGCUGCCCUGUACCUGCAGCGUGCUGCCUGCACUGCUGUCACUUGGGUGAAUUUAAAGAUUGUCAUUGUGAUAUCAUCACGACAAAUACUUCUCAGGAGAACUUCUUACUUCACGACAAAUCCAUCAUUGGAGAGGUCUGGGCAUCCCUGCUAUGUCCCAUUGGUGUCAGCAUUGGUGGAAGGAAGAGAACCAGUCCCUGCUGUGAUGCUGGGGUGCCCUAUGCUGAAUUCCACAGGUGCCAAGAGAGGAGGAACUGCCACUUCCUAGGCUGUAAAAAUGCCUUGAGCUGCUGCUGCUGUUUCCACACACUAACAGUCAUCAGAUGUUGGCUAUCCUUUACCAACAGGAGAAAUGAAAGCUUUUAUCUCAACUUCUGUAGAGUAGUAAUAAUAACCUGCUGUAAGCCUGGCUGUCCCGAAUGUCACUGCUGGCUCAGGAAAACAAGAUAAAGGCAUCAAUCCACCCACCUGAGCUCUGCGUGACCGUUGGCUGAAGGGAAGAGAGAAGUUGGAAGCUGUCUGUCUGCAAUUUUGG
rnacentral:lncRNA from 1 species